rnacentral:rRNA from 1 species
UACGAAGGGGGCUAGCGUUGCUCGGAAUCACUGGGCGUAAAGGGUGCGUAGGCGGCCAACUAAGUCAUACGUGAAAUCCCUCAGCUUAACUGGGGAACUGCGUGUGAUACUGGAUGGCUUGGAUUUGGGAGAGGGAUGCGGAAUUCCAGGUGUAGCGGUGAAAUGCGUAGAUAUCUGGAGGAACACCGGUGGCGAAGGCGGCAUCCUGGACCAAUAUUGACGCUGAGGAGCGAAAGCUAGGGGAGCAAACGGG